UUGUAUGUUCACUUGGUUAGGCUUGGAGACUUGUACUCUUUCUAGGCUGCAUUUUUCCUAAAGCCAUAUUAUCAGCUACAUUAUAGGUAGGAUGCUCUAUCCAAACAAUCUCUCUCACAGCCCAAAUUUACCAGUUUCAAGGGUUCUUACAGACAUGUAUUUUUCAGAUAGUGCAGAAGUUGUUUUUUCAUCUUAUUUGAUGUUCUAAUAUUUAAUUGUUUCUAAUACUCAAAUCUUAGAAUCUUAUUUAGAGGGAAAAUCUGAUAUAAAACCAAAAGUAUUGAUGAAGUUGCUGAUUUAAAUAAAGGCCUGAUUUAUUUAUUCCCCUAUACUGUUGGGAAAUAUGGGAGGGACUUAGAGGAAGAGGACAGAAAAGUAAGAAAAUUACUCAUUCCCCUUACAGAAGGUAUAUUUUCCCUAAUGUGCUGUAGUGAAAGCUGGUAUAUAGGAAGCAGAUAAAGCUGCAAAGGCUUCAGGGUGUAAUUGCUGAAGCUACAGUGCUUACAACUGUGUCUCAGUGUCUACAGCAGUGCCUCAGUGCAUACUGGGCAUGAAGCUGAUGGGGCUAGUAAAAGCAGAAAAGCAAACAGACAAACGGCCAGCGUUGUAGUUGUGUGUGCUCUUGAUUAAUAUUGGUUUUAAUGUUAAUAUUCCAUUGGUUCAGCUGUGCUUGCACUGGUUUUAGGCAGAUAAUCAAUUGUAAAUUCAUAGGUUUUCAUGUUCUAGCUUUAAGCACGGUAAAAAGUUCAUUUGUAGUUGUACUCUGUUGUUAAGUGCCAUGACAUGAAAAAGGUGGAGUUUAUAUUUGUGCCUUUCAGUUCUUCCAUUUAGUGUGCUGCUACAUAACAGGAAGAUAUAUUUUCUGAUUACCUGCUCUCUUAACAUUGUAAUCUCUUAAGUACUUAAUUCCUGAAAUAUUUAAACUAUGCAGACCACCCAGAAGGGCUCAGCAGAGAAGUUUCAAACCAGUAAAUUUCUACUGCUCAUGUUACUAUGUCAAGCCAUUGGUAAGAAAUGAAUCAACUACUUGAAAAAGCUAUCCUGUUUGAUUUUUCACUAAGAGAAUAGUCCAGAGACACAGAAAUCAUAUUUAAACCAGCUUUAAUAAAACUGUCUUUACUCCUUUUUAAAGACUUGUAAUCCUAGCUAGUCUUACUGAAUUUGGGUAACUGCCAUCUCAUUGAGCCACUGCUCAAUUUCUUGUAGUAGUCAAGGCAAAUCAAUAGACAAAAAAAUAGAUGGUUACAGAAACAGAUGUUCAGUCCAUACUGAAUAUCUCAAAAUACUCAGUUUUUUCAGUUUAUGUGAUGGCAACUGAAGAAAUUUUUACAAUCUCUGUAUUACACAUGUAUUCCAUGUGUAAUACACACAGUUAUAUAUUUAUGUAAUUAUGGAAAACUAUAAACGACACCUAAAAAAUAAGUAAUUCUAGACUACUAUUUUUGUAGCAGUUCCUUAAGUUUUAUUAUUUUGGAAUCCUUUAUUUUCAAGUUUGUUUAAGACUCCAUAGGCGCUUUGAAUUAUUUUGAUUGCCCUACCUGCAAAUCUAACCAAAUUGCACUCUAGCAGUGAAGCCUGAGCUCUGAGACUAUGGUGGGAAGUUUCUGUUGUUCCAGGAACCAUACAUCCCAUACACUUUCUUAAUGGGCCUCUAGCCAUCCCCAGAAAGAUAUAUUUUAAUGCGUUCUGGAGUGAAAUGGGAAGAUUUUAAGUCAGGCCUUUUUGCAGAUGCUGGAUCAUUCCUUCUGCUGCCUCAGGGACCCCAUUGGAAUCAAUGGAAUGGUUACUUGUAUGCUGAGAACAGAAAUGUCACAUGCGUCUCCCCCUUAAAAGGAUGUUCUGUUCCAUACAAAAAAAAAAAUCCAUGCAAGGUUUUACUGUACUGAUAAGCAGUCUGGAAUACACUUAAAUCUGAUGUAAUCUGAAACCACACAGGAAGACAGACAACUCUCUACAUGCUUUCAGGACCAAGUGGGAAGGAGAUAUGACCUAUAAGUCUUCUUCUAGAGCCCUGGGCUGUUAGUGAGUCAUGAGGACUGCAUGCAGGAAUGGAAGUUCUUACUCUUUUCACAAUCCUGUAAGCCAGUUAAUACAGCAUGGAAAUAAUGGAAUUUACUUCAUUUCACAGAGGCACCAGUGGCAACUAGAAUGUUAGAAAAGGUGGUAACAUGGAGAGGCCGAGCACAGUGAUCCUUCAUUGGUAGUUACCCUAAAUCCACAGUAUUAUGAGAAUUCUUUUGAUGAGACAAUCUUAAGGCUACAUAAGAAAAAAAAAAUAUUCUAAAUCAGGUCAAGCGAUUUGAACUACUCACCCUCUUCUGAGUAACCAAAAUGACACUGAUUAAAGACACCAGUGUAAAGAUGGAAUAGUGUAGAAGUUGAAUAUUUUUUGAAGCUUUUGCUGUCUCCACCAGUGAAAAUACUCAUCAUAAGUAUCUCUUGUUUCAGUGCUGGAUUAGUUUUAUAGUUCCUAAAAUUCUUGAGCACAAAUUCAGGGCUGUUGCCUGUUAAUUCUGAGCUCAUUAGAGAAACUGAAGGAAAAGAGAAAUGUUGGCAGUGACCAGUGCUCCUGUCAGCAGUGCCAGUUCUGUAGCUCUUGCCAAGCACACAAUCCUUUACCCAGACUGGUCCAAAGCUGGUCUUUCCAGUAGUAUCUUUCCAUCUGGAUUGCUCCCAAAAGGAAGAUGACAGAAGGGUACUUGUUAUGCUUUACCUUGCCUUUUCUGGUUUCCAGAGUGUUACUGGCUGGAUAAGCUUAAAGGAACUGAAAUGGUGCCAGAUACACAUCAUUAUGUGUUUUAACACACUGAAUACAAGGGAGAGCAAGUUUAAAGUGUUAAUCUAGCUUCUGCAAGGGGAAAAACUCACCUGCUUCCAAGGGACUGGGCAUUCUUUCAUGCACAGUGGAAGUGUACAAUAUUAUAUAACUAUUACUUAAAGACAAAGUUUUGGGGUUUACCAUAAUAUCUUCUGAAAAAUUAUCCUCCUCAAAAUUAAAGUAUUUUUGCAUCUUAAAAUUGGUACCUGGUACAUAUGUAUUUAAAUGACAACAUAAACUUCUGUUUGUCUUCUUUGCAAGGGGAUUCUGAGCCGAUGAUAGAUAUUAAUGAUUGACCUUAUGGCUAAGAUUUUUAAAUCUGCCAUUUGGAUGCCGUGUUCAAUCCUUUAAAGAGGAUAAAGCAAAAAUAUUGGAUUAAAAUAAAGAUAUGACAGUAUAAACUUUAGGGCAUCUUCUCUUAUCUCCUAUAAUUUUGAUGCUCAAUUACAGUAUGAAGACCCUGGCAGAUUAAGCAGUACUUAAUAGCAAUCUUCUUUGAAAAAUACUCAUGUAGCACAUAUUCAGAUGAAUGUACUUCAGCAUCAGUCACCAUUCAAUCAAUAACCUUUUAUUCAGUAUAACCUACUCAGAAUGCAAAAACUGAAAAAAAAAGUUAUGAAAUUAGUUACGAAAGAAGGUGUUAGAAGGUGAUGCACCGGGGACCUAGUGCAACACAUGCUUGUAAGAGCAGAAAUAGGAACAGAAAGUCCUGAAUUAAUUAUGUAUAGAGGGUAUUUAUGUGUUGCUACUGACUGUAAAAGAUGAUCCUCACUCUAAAGAACUUGUCUUCAGAAUCUCCAAGAGAGCAAAUAAAGAGAGCUAAAAAAGUCAAUGCAUCAGAAUUCAGUAUUUUCCAUUUUCAUUAUAGACUUGUAUAGCAUGCCUCAAGUCUACCUACCAUUUGGAAAUACGUAUGAGAAAAUAUAAAUUAUUCUCCUGUAAGAGCAGAUUUCUGUGGAGAACAAAAAUAAAGAUCAAUUCAGCAGUAAGGGCUGCUGAGGCAUUUUCAGACAGCUAAUAACUCCCUCCAGAGCUGCCUAGGUCCAAUUUGGAAUUUGAGCUGACAAUUGUAUCUCUCCCUUGAUUGGUUGCCAGGAAGAAAACAUCUAUGCUUCACUGCAAAUGUAAGUAAUAAAGGACAGUAAGGUCUUCAAGCCUUAAAGGUAAUAGAACUUUAGGUUUUGUUUUUUUUUAAAUGCCUACCUGCUUUUCUAGGGGGAAAAAACCCAACAAAUUAAAAUUAUUAUUUUUAAAAAAGAAUCUGUCCUGAUGUAUGUUAGAAGUUAAAAGUGUACAUUCAUACAUACUGAAAGUAUGAUGAGCUUACUGCAAGCUAAAUGAGACAAUUGUCAGUAGUGAGUUUAUUUUCUUACGUAAAAGUGAAAAUUUCAUUUACAGCAGCUAUAAAAGUAUAGAUAAACUCUUUCACGCUUCACCUUCUGACCUGCAUUUCUGACUAGCUUACAGAGGCUGCCAUUUCUUUGCUCUAUUCAUGCUUUGAGCCAGCUGGACAUAAAUAAGAUCAGCUUCUUUCCAGAAAUCAUGUGGCCACAUUAGCACAGUUCUGAGCCCAAGCUAAUGUAUUCUGUUUCACAGCCAGCCUUAUUAACUCAGGUUCAGCAGUACACAAAUCACAGCUACACAGCUGCUACACUGCCUGGCUCAGGGCACAGGCAGAGUGAACCUGUCACUGUCUGCACCCAUCCAUGUGGAUGUACCCUCAGAUGACCCUAGGCUGUAAAAAAAGCUAGUUUUAGGAAUUGGUUCUCCAAUUAAUUACAUUUUAAUUGCAUAAUACAAUGUAUACUGGAAAUGGAGUAAUGAAAUCUUACAGGAUAUGGUAAAGUGAGUUUUUUCCAACAUCACCGCAACAGUGUGCUGCCCAAACUGGUCUAUGAACUAACUUGAAAAUAGAGGCAAGACAUGUAGUCAGUGGGUCAGUGCAUUGGAUUUGAACACAACUCCUCAAAAUUACUUUUCCAGUAGCUUUAAAGUCUUAAAAGUCACUCAAAAUACUUUUCAGUCUUCCUGCAGAGAAUUCCCAAAGAGCCCAAUAACAGCCUUUUCCAAGUACUGAUCCCUUCGUGAGUAAAAGUAGUAAUUGUGGGCAUACCAAAUGUCAUGAUAUGUUAAGUGACAAUGGGGACUUCACAGGAAUUUUCACCUCUUGGAUUUUUAUCUGCUGUCAUUUAUCUACUCUGCUAUAUUCCUGUGCUUCUCUGUACAAGAGACAGUGGAGUUAAAUAUCUGCAAUUAGAAAUAAAGCUGCUAAACACAAUUUAUUGCUCAUAAAAAGUUUCACCUUUUGGAUCUAGCUCACUCACUGUCUGCAGCAGUGGACACAAAGUGAAGAACACAAAUACCUAUGGUGUGCUGCCAGCUGUCAGCUCAGUUAUGUCCUUGGCCUGAUAGGAUUUGCCCAGGUUAUUAUUCCCAGUGGAUCACUCCUUCAAGUACUCAUCCAAUCUCCCAUCAAGUUCAUAUAAAUUGUUGCCUUUAUAAAUUUUGAAAAGAAAUGUAACAAGUUUGCCAGCUUUUUGGUAUGUCAUUCUAAACCAAAUCUGAGAGCCUAGAACAGCCAUACAGUGAGACAGAUCAAAGAUCCACCUCACUAGUACCCUUGUCAGCUAAAUCAGCCCACAGAGAAUGCCUGGAAAAACCAGCAGAACAGACAGGAUUAGCAUGCAAAGGUAUUUCCUCAUUCCUCGGCAAUCUUUAUCUCGGGAGUUCCUGAGACUCCUAAUGGUUGCAUUUCACCUGCCCUUCUACUAUCCAGUCAUGUUACAUCUCACAACAGGCUUUCUUUUUUCGAAACCCAAAAAUACAGUACCAUCAUCUAACUUCCGUGCCUCACUUUACAUCUUUGAUUUUAAAGCGUUUUUUUCUCAACAAAUAAUUUAGAAAUAUGUUUCAUACUUCAAAUUUCCAUGAAAAUGCACUAAUAGUCACCCUUCAUUUUAGAAACAGACCAUUUUCUCCUAACCUGUAUCAACAACUUAUUCCUUGGCAGUUUAGUUUCUUUUAAGAGCCACAGUCCACUGUAGUCUAUUAUGCAAACAGAUCUUUUUUUAAUGCAAGUGCAUCAACUGCAAGUACAACGACAUCACUAUUAAAACAUUUUGAAGCAGAUUACCAUGCACAAUGGUGAUCAAAAAUCAAGUCAAGGCCAAGAAGCCUAAAAUUCAUGGCACAAAGAUUUUAGUCUCAUGACUCUGAUCAACAUGACAUUUACCUACAGCACUUAAAAGUACACAGACAAUCUUCUCUCUUUUGUUUUCUUUUACAGUGCCUGAUUUUCCUUAUCAGGAAAUGUUUGCCACCAUCUAGAUACUACAGUCCUAGCAAGAUACAUUUCUUAUUUGGAAUUCAUUUUAACUCUGAUUUUUCUCAACAUCCUUUAGUAGUGCAAAGGGCUAUUUUCACCUUCUCUAGAUAAUUUAUGUUUAUUCUCCUUCCCUCCCCUGUCUCAUAUGCACAGCAUCACACUAGCCCCAUUUAUACUAGCUUUUCUUAGUCUCUUUUUCUGGGUUUGGGGGUUUUGAUGUUUAUAGAGCAGUACAUUUUUAGUAAUUAAGGAGAUACAGACAGAUAACAGGAGUCAGUGCAUUCUUCUGUUGAUUGUACAACCAGACUUAUUUAUGCGGCUAUUCCACUCCAUCCUGCCUCACUUCUGGCACUACUGUCCUUCUACUCAGAGACACAGAAUGCAUUUAAGAUUUCAUUCACACAAGAUGAACUAACACUGAAAAAGCAACAUUCUUACACCUUGUAGUAAUAUCACAGUACAAAAAACCAAUACAUAUAAUAUUGGCCCUCAGGCUUCAGCAAUAUGAUUCUUACUUUUCAUACUGUGUCAGAAACAUUUUCUGCAGGUCAGUGGGUAUAACUACACAAGCACUAAACUACCAGGAAUCCCAAACUGCUGCCAAGUUACACUUCAAUAAAAGCUUACUGAAUCAAGACUCUGAUGCUUCUGAUGUAGAUUGAUGAAUAACUGAUUUUUAUUUCCUGCACUGCAAACCACUCUGGCAGUUCCUGAGGUGUGUAAAAAUUGCUUUUAACAGCACUUCACUAACAAGCAAAAGGUGUUCAUGUAGAUGGAAACCAAAACAAAAUUCAAUAAAAAUCUUUCACUUCAAUAAAAAGUAAGCCAUGGGAACAUUGAUCAUAAUCAGUGAAUAAAUAUGAAAUAGAAAUAACUUUAUGGUUUUACAUAAUUGUAUGCAAAAAAAAUUCCAAGGGUCAUUUAUAUCAGUUUGUUUAAAAUACAUUUUAAACAAAUACUCUCCUAUGAAGAAAAGCUGUUCAGCCUAGAAAAGAGAAAGUUCCAGAGGUACCUUUAAGCAGCAUUCCUGUACAUAAAGGGGGCUGCAAGAGAGAAGAGGGACUUUUUACAAGAGCAUGAAGUGAUAAGACAAGGGGGGAUGGCUUUAAACUGAAAUAGGGAAAGUUUAGAUUAGAUAUUAGGAAGAAACUCUUUAUUGUGAGGGUGGUUAGGCACU
rnacentral:lncRNA from 1 species